GACGAACGCUAGCGGGAUGCCUUACACAUGCAAGUCGAACGGAGUGGCGAACGGGUGAGUAAUGUAACGGGACGUGCCCAGUAGCGGGGGAUAACUACGCGAAAGCGUAGCUAAUACCGCAUACUAUUGGAGCGGCCGAUAUGGGAUUAGCUAGAUGGAGGGGUAACGGCUCACCAAGGCGACGAUCCGUAGCUGGUUUGAGAGGACGAACAGCCACAAUGGGACUGAGACACGGCCCAGACUCCUACGGGAGGCAGCAGUGGGGAAUUUUUGACAAUGGGGGAAACCCUGAUCCAGCCAUCCCGCGUGUGAGAUGAAGGCCUGCGGGUUGUAAAGCACUUUUGGCAGGAAAGCGGUACCUGCAGAAUAAGCACCGGCUAACUACGUGCCAGCAGCCGCGGUAAUUC
rnacentral:rRNA from 1 species